UUAACUAUUAUAUAGUACUCAGACGACACUAAAAACAAGAGUUGGGGUUCUCUGGCGGGCACAUACCAACCGGAGUCGGUAGCCUAGGCGGCCCGCCAAAGCAACAAAGGUAUAAAUAUCAAGGGUGGGAGAUCUACCCGUUAGGGCAUGAACUCUGUAAUGAUCCUUCCGCAGGUUCACCUACGGAAA
rnacentral:misc_RNA from 1 species